UAAUUCAAAGCCAAGAAAUGGAAUCAAUCACACAUUCAUAUUCAUGUUUAGCAUGUAAGGUGGUCUAUUUAUGGACCGAGAUGUCGCACCUUUUGCCCAAAUAAAGAAGGUUCCAGCUUCGAAACUAAGGAGGUGCAACCUAGGACUCAAACACAAGUAGACCUUGUUAGUGGUUGUAGGAGAUUUUUGAUUCUGGUCGGAGUGGUUGGAGAUGGCCGGAGAUGGCUGGUGCGAUG
rnacentral:lncRNA from 1 species